rnacentral:rRNA from 1 species
CCGACGGUGAGGGAUGAAAGCUGGGGGAGCAAACCGGAUUAGAUACCCGGGUAGUCCCAGCUGUAAACGAUGCGCGUUAGGUGUAUCAGUGACCACGAGUCACUGAGGUGCCGAAGAGAAAUCGUGAAACGUGCCGCCUGGGAAGUACGGUCGCAAGGCUGAAACUUAAAGGAAUUGGCGGGGGAGCACCACAACAGGUGGAGCCUGCGGUUUAAUCGGACUCAACGCCGGAAAUCUCACCAGAUAA